CAUGCUGUAGCUUAAUUACAAAAGCACCUGGCCUACACCCAGAAGACUCCACAAUCAAUGGACAUCAUGA
rnacentral:tRNA from 2 species